rnacentral:ncRNA from 1 species
GACCCUCGUCAUAAGAGAUGACGAGGGUCAUAAGACCCUCGUCAUCUCUUAUGAGGGUGUAAAAAAAUGCAUGUAAAAAAGCAUUUUUUACAUGCUUUUUUUUUACAAAGCAUGUAAAAAAAUACAUGCUUUGUCUCAAUAAAG